UACGGAGGGUGCAAGCGUUAUCCGGAUUCACUGGGUUUAAAGGGUGUGUAGGCGGAUCUUUUAAGUCCGUGGUGAAAUCUCCGAGCUCAACUCGGAAACUGCCAUGGAUACUAUUGGUCUUGAAUCUUGUUGAGGUGGGCGGAAUACAUCAUGUAGCGGUGAAAUGCUUAGAUAUGAUGUAGAACACCGAUUGCGAAGGCAGCUCACUAAGCAAGUAUUGACGCUGAGGCACGAAAGCGUGGGGAUCAAACAGG
rnacentral:rRNA from 1 species